GUGUGCGUGUGUGUGUGUGUGUGUGAGACAGAGAGAGACAAAAUGAAAAAAGAGUGAGAGAGACAAAGCUUUAGAGAUCCUUUUGACAGCCUUUUUGCCUCAAAGAAUGGAUAAUCCUUUGACCAAACAAGAAAAUGGAUAGAUGACAUGAAAUACUUUUGGAAAGCUGGCAUGCCCAGUGUUAUCUGUUCCAGUUUGGAUUAUCUGUCAGGAUUCACCGCUCUUCUCUCUGCUUUGUGGAUUAUAUUACUGGACUGUCACUUCACUGAUCGGUUACUGACCUGUGGAUUACUUACCCCGUCGCUGCAGUCAUCAUCACAUCGCCAUUCAGCACCCGGGUGUUCCAUGCUGUGUCUCACCAUCUCCUCGUCUGUUUCCCACACCAUCAUAGCCUACUGCAACCAGUGCUGUGGAUUUAUUUAUUUUCAUUGCCAUAUCUGCUCUGUGUGUUAAUAAAGACUAAUCAUUGUACUCCCUCUGUUUUUGGGAUCUUCCUCAAAACAAACCAUGACAGAACAAUUAUGGCCCCAGCCAAACAUGGACCCAGCAGAGGAAGCAUCACUCCACAUGGCAGUAUCACAACAGGGGGUGCUAAAGGGUCGUCAACAAGAACAGCGGAUAGCUGAAAUUGCUCACUCUCACCAGUAGGAAAGGGGUUACUGGUGAGUGUUACUCCUUAAGGAUAAAUCCCCUGGAAAGAGAACUCUCCUUCCGGCCUCUUAUAUGGUAUGGCGACACCCGUUACUCCAUCUCUGCCCUUGUGGACUCUGAAGCAGAGGGUAACUUCAUGGACGCUAAACUGGUUGCUCAGUGAUCCAUUCCCCAAUCUCCUCUGGAUGAACCCAUCACUGCCAGCAUGCUCUGUGAUACCCCUCUCACCAUAGUAACCCAUAUCACUGCUUCUCUUCAGCUUACCAUAUCUGGCAAUCACAUGGAGGAGAUCCGGUUUUAUGUUAUCCACUCUCCCUCUGCUCCAGUGGUUUUGGGACACCCAUGGCUGUUCAGUCACGUUCUGUGUUGUAGGAGGAGUCGGUGGAGCUGACCAGAGUACCUGAAGUCUACCACGACUUGAGGGCAGUGUUCAGUAGGUCCCGGGCUGCUUCUAUUCUUCCACACCGCCCGUACGAAUGUGCCAUCGACCUCCUUCCUGGCCUUUCUCCACCUCUGGGAUGCUUUUAUUCACUCUCUGAUCCAGAGAGGGAGUCCAUGGAGAAAUACAUCAGCUAGUCUCUGGCGGCAGGUAUUAUUCAACCUUUUUCCUCUCCGGCUGAGGUGGGGUUCUUCUUCGUGGGGAAAAAAGACGGCUCUUUGUGUCCCUGCAUAGAUUAUCGGGGGCUGAAUGACAUCACGGUUAAGAAUCGUUACCCUUUGCCAUUGAUGUAUCCUGCCUUCGAACUCUUGCAGUGAGCUUCUUUCUUCACGAAGUUGGACCUUCGCUUUGCUUACCACCUGGUCUGGAUCCGGGAGGGGGAUGAAUGGAAGACGGCCUUUAACACCCCUACUGGGCAUUUAGAAUACUUGGUCAUGCCCUUUUCCAACUGCCCGGCCGUCUUCCAGGCACUUGUCAAUGACGUGCUGCGUGACAUGGUCUGCCAAUUUUUACCGGUGGUUCAUUCGGAAUUUCAGUAAGAUCUCUAAAGGAUACCUUUAUUCCGCCCAGUAGGGUGGUUGCCAUGAUAUCCUGGGGAAUAAAGUCCAAAGUCCGGCUGGAUCUGCACGACAUUACUAUUCCAGAGAACCUGCUAUUUGUUCCUGGGUCGGUCCGAAUUCACGUCCUCCGGUGGGGUCAUUCACCUAACCCUAGUUAAGCAGCAGUUCUGGUGGCCCUCGUUGGUGCGGGACAUUCGUAAAUUCGUCUCGGCCUGUCCAGUUUGCGCUACUGGCAAGUCUUCCAGUCGACCUCCUGCGGGGCUUCUUCCAUUGACAUGAAUUUCAUCACUGGAUUACCCCCAUUAAAUGGCAAUACAGUUAUUUUAAAUGUAGUAGACUGGUUCUCAAAGUUUAGGCUACCAGCCCCCAUUAUUCCCCUCCCAAGAACCCGACACUGUUGUUCACUGUGCUAUCUGAACUGUGUUUUUGUGACUGUUUUUUUGCUUGUGUAUUAUUGUGUUACUAUUGUAAAGUGUCCUUGAGCUCUGGAAAGGCGCUAUAUAAAUUAAACAUUAUUAUUAUUAUUUAUUUGUUCCUUCCGUGAACAUGUUUAUCCAAAGGUGUCGAUGCACCUGGAAGAUCGCCAGAGAAGCCCUUCUCCAGACUGGUAAUCAGAACAAAGUGUCGGUUGACCAUAACCGUUCUAAGCCCCUGGUUUACGUUUGCGGACAGAAGGUCUGAUUGUCCUCCCAGGACAUCCCUCUCCGACUUCCCUCACAUAAAGUGGGACCCAAAUUUAUCGGACCAUUUACCAUCUCCAAGGUGCUUAGACCGGUGACAGUUCGACUCAAAUCUUUUCAUUGCCAUAUCUGCUCUGUGUAUUAAUAAACACUCUAAUCAUUGUACUCCCUCUAAGUUUGGGUUCUUUCUCAAAACAAACCAUGACAGAUACAGACAUUGCCUGUCAGUUAACUCGAUAAUGUGAAUGCACAGUAGCUGAACCAGCCUGAGAAACAGUGUUUUUUUAAACGUGAUUUGAGCUAAAGAAACACAAUUUGUGAUACCACUGUUGUCA